rnacentral:rRNA from 1 species
UCGAGGAUAGUCUACAAUGGUCGAAAGAUUGAUAGUGCGACGCCGCGUGAACGAAGAAGCAUUUCGGUGUGUAAAGUUCUUUUCUAUGCGAGCAGGGAUUGGGAGGUUAACAGCCUCUUGGUUUUGAUAUUAGUAUAGGAAUAAGCCACGGCUAACUCCGUGCCAGCAGCCGCGGUAAUACGGGGGUGGCGGGCGUUGUCCGGAAUUACUAGGCGUAAAGGGCAGGGAGGCGGAAUGGUAAGUUAAGUGUUAAAGGCCCAUGCUCACCAUGGGUAAGGCAGUUGAUACUGUCAUUCUGGAAGCGAGUGGGGGAAGACGGAAUUCCUGGUGUAGCGGUGGAAUGCGCAGAUAUCAGGAGGAACACCGAAGGCGAAGGCAGUCUUCUACGCUUUGUUUGACGCUAAACUGCGAAGGUGCGGGUAUCAAACA